AGCUCGGAUUCGUACAGAGCCGGAUGCAUUUCGCGUCGAAAAUCAUUAUUCAUCUCAUCGUCACUAAUCGACCGACGCCCUUUCUUCCCGAGUCGUAUCUCCAGACCGAUGUGCAGAGCACAUUUUUGGCGAUCGUGAAUGUGAUGAGACUUUCCCCUUCUCAUGGCUCCCUGGAUGUUUUGAUCGCCCACGAGGACCGGAAGUUAGUCGAUCGAGAAGAGUAUUGAUGCGGUGAAGCUCAUUCCCGAGUUCGGGCGUUCGAGCUUUUUUACGGAGUACCGAGACAUCCCAGAAGCGGAAUUCGACGGAGACAACCCGUCCAGAGACAUCGGCUCUAGUGAAAAUGUCGACGAAUGAGUCCGAAUAUCCGACGAAAGUCUUCAUGAAGAUAAAGCUCAGCUGCACGCAAUGCAAGCUCCGGUUCUCUCGCUCAGAGGCUCUUAAGCGCCAUUCCUCGAAACAUCCCCGACUGAACUGUCAUUGCAUAAGGUGCAACAGUACCAUGAACCUGCACACGUUAUCGAAAGAGCCUUCGAAAAUCUACCCUUGUCGGAGGUGUGGCAAGGAAUUUGAGCUACCCGAGGUGCUCCGUUACCACGAAGAGCAGCACUUGAAGAAGAACUUCCAGUGGUGCCCCUUGUGCCGGGAAAAAUGCAAUGAUAAUUGGUGUUUGAAACUCCAUAUGAAGGAGGAACACUCUGACACGAACGCCACGGGCGGCAAAGUUCAAGAGAUCAAACACACAGACCCAGAGGAAAACAUUGAUUUUGAGGAGGUUGACUGAGUUCAUUGCGGAACGCUGGAAAAAUUUUCCACAUCCGGGGAAAAUAAUUCCCACAUUCAGUGACUUGAGAUGCUAUUCAUGAGCGAAAUCGGCUCAUGGACAGUACUUUAAAUUGUGAAUCGAAGUGAAAAACUUUUUUAGUCUGCGCGCGGGACCCUCGAUCGCCUCUAGAGGCGCGCGGAAUCCUCCCGAGGUGGCACGUUCACGGAGCCUAUGAAAUUGUAAUUGCGGAGUGAUAGCCUUUCCGAGUAUGAGACAUGACUGCAUGCGAGCUUAUGAAUAUUAUUAUUGACCGGUAUUGUAACUAUGGCAAAGUAAAUGAAUCUAUACCCAU